rnacentral:lncRNA from 1 species
AGGACAAUUAUGAGACAAACUUAUGCAUUCUAGCCCUCAUGCUAGAAACUAUCUUGGCAGCAUACCUUGACAAUUGAUGGGAUUUCAAGGCAUACUCUUAUAUGGACGUCCUCCCUUGAUUUAAGUUCACCAAAUAUUCCUCUCUUUCCUUCCUCAAACCUUGAGGAAAGAAUCAGUCUAAGAAAGCCUCAGAUAAAUCCUCUCACAUGGCGGAUCUAACAUCAACACCUCUAGACA